rnacentral:rRNA from 1 species
UGGGGGAUAUUGCACAAUGGGGGAAACCCUGAUGCAGCGACGCCGCGUGUAGGAAGACGGUCCUCUGGAUUGUAAACUACUGUCUUCGGGGACGAUAAUGACGGUACCCGAGGAGGAAGCUCCGGCUAACUACGUGCCAGCAGCCGCGGUAAUACGUAGGGAGCGAGCGUUGUCCGGAUUUAUUGGGUUUAAAGGGUGCGUAGGCGGCUUAUUAAGUUAGAGGUGAAAGACUAAGGCUCAACCUUGGAAUUGCCUCUGAUACUGGUAAGCUAGAGUUCAGAUGAAGAAGGCGGAAUGUGUGGUGUAGCGGUGAAAUGCUUAGAUAUCACGAAGAACUCCUAUUGCGAAGGUAGCUUACUAAGCUAUAACUGACAUUGAUGCUCGAAAGUGUGGGUAUCAAACA